GUGGUAAUGCCGGAUGCUCCGACAUGACGCAUGUCGUGUCGGGAAAGAUUCAUCGGUAUGGGAUGGGGUCGCGUCCUAUCAGCUUGAUGGCGGGGUAACGGCCCACCAUGGCUUCGACGGGUAGCCGGCCUGAGAGGGCGACCGGCCACAUUGGGACUGAGAUACGGCCCAGACUCCUACGGGAGGCAGCAGUGGGGAAUAUUGCACAAUGGGCGCAAGCCUGAUGCAGCGACGCCGCGUGCGGGAUGACGGCCUUCGGGUUGUAAACCGCUUUUGACUGGGAGCAAGCCCUUCGGGGUGAGUGUACCUUUCGAAUAAGCACCGGCUAACUACGUGCCAGCAGCCGCGGUAAUACGUAGGGUGCAAGCGUUAUCCGGAAUUAUUGGGCGUAAAGGGCUCGUAGGCGGUUCGUCGCGUCCGGUGUGAAAGUCCAUCGCUUAACGGUGGAUCCGCGCCGGGUACGGGCGGGCUUGAGUGCGGUAGGGGAGACUGGAAUUCCCGGUGUAACGGUGGAAUGUGUAGAUAUCGGAAAAGAACACC
rnacentral:rRNA from 1 species